UACGGAGGGUGCGAGCGUUGUCCGGAAUCACUGGGCGUAAAGGGCGCGUAGGCGGCGCGGGGAGUCAACGGUGAAAGCUCGGCGCUCAACGCCGAGUCGGCCGUCGAUACUCCCGUGCUCGAGCACUGUAGAGGCAGGUGGAAUCCCGGGUGUAGCGGUGGAAUGCGUAGAGAUCCGGAAGAACACCGGUGGCGAAGGCGGCCUGCUGGGCAGUAGCUGACGCUGAGGCGCGACAGCGUGGGGAGCAAACAGG
rnacentral:rRNA from 1 species